GAGAGUCACCGCAUUUUUAGAUUUCAUUCCAAUUUUUCAAUACUCAUACCCUUUUGUGAUUUCGUUCCAAAUUUCAAUACCAUGCCCUUUUGUCCAGCAACAAGUAUGACGGUGAUUCCAAUUCUUGAUUCCCAAACUCUCUUACCAAGCGGCCCUAGUAGAACAAAGGAAUCACAGGCAUAAACAUGAAGGACUCGUGAAAGUAAAGUACGGGGAUUAAUCAUUAAAGUGCUAGUAGUAGUACGACUAAAGAGAAUGAAGUGUAACAGGAGGCACGGCUUCUUUCUUAUCCAUCUGUCUGGAUUUAUUCUCAGUUAAAGAGGCUUCCGGUGGUGGACAUCGAGCCACCAACGAGUUCUCAACUCCAGAGUUUGAAGACCAGGAAAGACAGGGUGCAUUGAAGAUGACCAUGCCCGCAACGGCUUCUUCUCCACGCAUCGUAGUUGUGCAUGGAAGCACUGCAUACACUACCACCGCCGCAAAAGGGAACAACGAUUCCUCCAGGAAGCACCGCGUCGUCAACAUAUCAUCUCCUUUUUUCUCAUUUGCUGUUGAUUAUUCGCGUAAUUCGAGGGGACCGCACCCGCACCGGCUUAUUGGAUUUCGAUUACACUGUUCCGAUUCGGGAAAUUCAUCAUCAUCUUCUCCCUCUUCAAGUUCAACUCCAAACCCCCCGGCUCGGGGCUUUGGUCCAAAACCCAGUCCUCCAUUGUCUACUACUAGUAAGGAUAAGAAACCAACGAGAAUGAGAAUGGAUGACAGCAAGAGUUCGGUGCCACCAAUAAGGAAAUCAUCCUCUAAUCGCUCCAACAACAUUCCUAAUCUCAGCCGAAGCCAAAUCUUGAUUCAACCAGAGGCACCGCUUUUGAGUUCUCAAAGUGAUGGAAGAUCAGGGAAUAUUCCCAUGGACUUUCAGUUUGAGGAACGGCUAGAAGCAGUUAAAAGGUGCUGGCCCAUCAGAUUUCUUUUGACUUUUGUUAAGAAUCCAUGUGUGAAUUGCACCACCUUGAUACAUGUGAUGGAAAAAAGGAGCAUGUUUGCACACAUUUGCGUUUCAUCACUCCAGCAAAAACAGGCAGAAGAAGAGGAACAAUAUGGAGCAAUUGAUUACGAGACUCCAACUGUGCCCACAAGUAAUACUGUUGGACUGGGUACUAAGAUUGGAGCUGCAGUCACAGCCUUGAUCUUUGGACUUGUUUUUGCUUUUGGGGACUUUCUUCCCUCUGAAAAAAUUACUCCGACCGAAGAAGCCACCACUGUUGUUGAAAAAUUUUCAGCUAAAGAGAGAGAAAGUCUAAAGAAGAGGCUGCAGCAAUUUGAGCAGACGCUGAGCAUCUCCCAAGACAAUCCCAUUGCUCUUGAAGGGGCUGCAGUAACACUAGCUGAAUUAGGAGAGUAUGAUCGAGCUGCCUCACUCCUUGAGGAUUUGACGAAGAAGAAACCAAGUGAUCCUGAUGUUUUCCGAUUGCUAGGAGAAGUUAAAUAUGAACUCAAGGAUUAUGAAGGAAGUGCCAGGGCCUAUAGAAAUUCGGCAAUGGUGUCAAAAACUAUUGACUUUGAAGUAACUCGUGGUCUUACAAAUGCACUGCUCGCUGCCAAGAAACCUGGCGAGGCUGUCCAAAUGCUUCUUCCAAUUCGUGAGAUGCUGAAUAAUGAGAAAAAUGUUCACAAUAAUUUUGAGGCAGAGAGCAGCAUAGUGGAGAAAAGCUCUCAAUUGGAUCCCAUUCAAGUAAGCCUCUUCCUCUACCUAUGAUGUGCGGUAUACUAAUCAGUUGGUGUACUAUUUUUCAGACGUCUUGGAUUUACAGUGUCAUGCUGGCCAUUCAUAUGUGAUGCGUUAUUCUCGGUUAGAUUUUGAUAUGGCCUUUUGUAAAGAGAUUGAAUGCUUAGCGCCUGGGCUAUAAUAGUUUUCAGGUAGACCUACUUCUUGGAAAAGCCUACUCAGAUUGGGGGCAUGUCAGUGAUGCUGUAGCUGUUUAUGAUCAAAUUAUUUCUAGCCAUCCUGAUGAUUUUAGAGGUUACUUAGCAAAGGGUAUCAUCUUGAAGGAAAAUGGUAAUGCCGGUGGUUCAGAAAGGAUGUUCAUGCAAGUAUGUAAAUGGCUUUCAGAAUUUGACUCGCAAUUGAUGUUUUGCUAGUUGUUUGAAUGAAACUCGCUUGGGAAGUUUCAAAGAAGUGACGAGUUUUUUGUUAUAUUUGAGAGACAAAUCAUAACAAGAGGCCACCUAUUUGGAGCAAGGCCUGACACUUAAAAAAGAAUGAUGAGCUUAAACAAGUCAAGCUUGAUUUCAUCUAAUGGAUACAUGAAGCUUGGUUUUUGGUACAGAGUCUCAACUGUUCUUGAAGAAAAUGUAUCCUGUGGUUUUCUUUGUGACCUUUGUUCUGCCAAAUACCUUGAUUAGAUAUGUGCAUAUGAACUCUUGCAUAUGAAGUUGUGAUAUUGUACAUGUUUUGGAGCGAUGUCAAGCUUUGUAGUUUAGUACGUGCAUUCAGUCGGGUGUGCUUUACAGUUUGUUGUUAACAGAUCAUCAGUAUCAAAGGAUUUGAGAAAAAUAUACUUGUGCACA